CUUGCUUCAGUAACACAUACUAAAAUUGGAACGAUACAAAGAAGACCAGCAUGGCUCUUGUGCAAGGAUGACACACAAAUUUGUGAAGCAUUCCAUAUUUAA